rnacentral:misc_RNA from 1 species
UGCCAGUUUCAGAUUGCUCACUUGG